rnacentral:rRNA from 1 species
UACAGAGGUCCCAAGCGUUGUUCGGAUUCAUUGGGCGUAAAGGGUGCGUAGGUGGCGCCGUAAGUGGGGUGUGAAAUUUCGGAGCUUAACUCCGAAACUGCAUUCCAUACUGCGGUGCUUGAGGACUGGAGAGGAGACUGGAAUUCAUGGUGUAGCAGUGAAAUGCGUAGAGAUCAUGAGGAAGACCAGUGGCGAAGGCGGCAUCCUGGACCGGUAUUGACGCUGAGGCGCGAAAGCCAGGGGAGCAAACGGG